GUCUGCAGCCAUGCCACCCUGAACAAGCCUGAUCCCGCCUGAUCUCGGAAGCUAAACAGGGUCAGACCUGGGUUAGUGCUUGGAUGGGAGAUCACCUAGGAAGACCAGGUGGUGAAGGCG
rnacentral:rRNA from 1 species